rnacentral:lncRNA from 1 species
UUUUUUUUUUUUUCUUUUUUUGUCUUUUUGCCUUUUUUUGAGCCACUCCCACAGCAUAUGGAGGUUCCCAGGCUAGGGGUCUAAUCGGAGAUACAGCUGCCGGCCACAGCCACAGCCACAGCAACGCGGGAUCCGAGCUGUGUCUGCGACCCACACCACACCUCACAGCAACGUCGGAUUCUUAAUCCACUAAGCAAGGCCAGGGAUCGAACCCGAAACCUCAUGGCUCCUAGUCGGAUUCAUUAAUCACUGUGCCACGACAGGAACUCCUCUUUUUUCUUCUUCUUCUUCUUCCUUCUUCUUCCUUCUUCUUCCUCUUCUUCCUCCUCCUUCCUCCUCCUUCCUCCUCCUUCCUCCUCCUUCCUCCUCCUUCCUCCUCCUUCCUCCUCCUUCCUCCUCCUCCUCCUCCUCCUCCUCCUUCUUCUUCUUCUUCUUCUUCUUUUCCACUUUUGAGGGCCGCACCCUUGGCAUAUGGAAGUUCCCAGGCUUGGGGUCAAAUCUGAGCUGCAGGUGCCUGCCUAUGCCACAGCCACAGCAGCACCAGAUUCAAGCCUCAUCUGUGACCUACACCACAGCUCACGGCAAGGGCGGAUCCUUAACCCACUGAGCGGGGCCAUGGGUCCAUCGACCUUGUUGUGUCCUCAGGUUCUUUUCUGCUGAACCACAGUGGGAAUUAAGGUUCUUAUAAUGGAAGGAGUCUGUGGGACUUACAAUCCACCUGAGUUAGAAACAGAAUUUACUUCGGGCUUCUGCUUGACCUUCAGGCUGAUACAAAUUGAAAUGGCAGAAUUGACCUCUUGAUUUACGACACUGGGAAGAGGAAAAACAAACUCUUGUUUUCUUACCUCUCAGAGAAACCUCGCCUCGAUUCUCCUUGGAGAGGCAUUUUUGUGUUCUGGAAAAAAAAAAACAAAAAAAACAAGCUCUUGAACUGUAACAUUAGAAAUCUUUCUUAUCUUGCUAAAGAUGAUGACUACUGUUAAUUUGCAGAAGAAAAAAGCAAGGCCUAUUGCAAAAAGAAAACUCUAGAAGUUGUUUUACUCCAUGGAUUUAUAGUGGUCAUGGGUAGGAUUAAGAGCUUCAGGGAGAAAGGGCUUUUCCAGACUAGGCUUUGGGUAAUCUUUUCAGAAGUCAGAUAUAAAAGAUGGGGCCAUUAUUAGUUAAGCAAGUUAACCACUGACAACCUGCUAAAUUGACUUCAUGCUCAGAAACAUUUCACUCUUUACCAAUGACAUAAUCCCUGGUAAUGUCUAAACCAAAAUCUUAAUUACUUCUGCAUUUGUUUCUUUUGGCAUAAAGGGAGUGCUCUGAGGAGACUUUUAUUUUCUGGAUGUACCAGUGUACUGAUAAAAUAUUUAUUUUGUAAAUCAUAUUUGUGAAAUGCGUGUAAAACUGAAAAUCAUGGUGCAAAUGAGAAGCAUCAUUACAGUUAUUGGAGACAGACUUGGGAAGGGUUUGCCUGACAUAGCUGGCCUUUGUGGAACACAUAGCAGUCCAAAGGGGUGUAUGAUGCUCUGGUGUUAACCACUGACCUCCCCCCGACCAAUACCCCCCACUUCCAAGGUCUUAGAGGAACUCCCAGAUGGUCCUGAUAUGCUCUGAUCCCUCCUCUUUGGUCUCCUGGUUGGUUCCGUGUUGGUCAAAGCAGUCUACAUCCCAUAGUAGAACUGUAACCCCAGUUCCUUCCUCCUGUUUCAGUAAAUCUUAAGGCGCUCUUGGUCAUGAAUCUGCAGUAACUCAAUCUUCAAACUUGAAAUGCUUCUUCAUCUUCCAUGGUUCACUAAUGCCAGCUCUUUUGGUUUUGAACUUUCCUAUCCGUAAAUCCAUAAAGCGCUUAAGUGGUGACUCUUGUCAGAUCUAAUAUUCUCUGCUCAUUCACUCUGUGAAUGUCAGUACAGUAAAGUUUUAUAGGAUUCUGUGUGAAAAGAUAAUUUUUGGGCUGAGUGAUGCCUAAGGACUUCUAGCCCUCAUUGAAGAGAAGCCAUCUACUUUCUGGUGGUUUCCUAUUUAUCCCACCUUCCCUUCUGGCCACUCAGUGGGAAUAAAAAUAAGUCUAUUUGUUUCCCUCUGGGGACAGAGAGGUUCUGUUUAAUUGUGCUAGGUAAAAUAAUGUCCUCCCAACCCCUAAAUGUCCAUAAUUGCUGGAGCUUGUGACUGUGUUAAGCUACCUGGCAAAGAAGAAUUAAGUUUUCUAAUCAGCUGACCUUAAAAUAGGGAGAUUGUCCUGGAUUAUUUGGUUGAGUCCAGUGUAAUGGCAAGGUCCUUAAAAGUGGAAGAGGGAGGCAGGAGGGGAAGUCAGAGUGAUGCCAUGUGAGAUGCCAUCCAUCCUCUGUGGAUGACUGUAGAUGCAGGAAAGGAUCUAACAGCAAAGGGAUCUGGGCAGCUUCCAGAAGCAGGCAAAGCCAAGGACGUUUCUUCAAGCCUUCAGCAAGGAAUACAGCUCAAAACUGGUUUAUACCUCUGAGACCCAGGUUAGGUGUCUAACCUACAUGACUGUAAGAUAAUAAAUUUGUGUUGUUUUGGGUCACGAAAUUCAUGGGAGUUUGUUACAGCAACAUUAGAAAAUGGGUACAGUUGUUUAUUUCAAAUUUUAUGUAGGGUUCCUGGGAGGUGGGCAGCUUUUAGUACAAUAUUGUUGUUGCCACUUAGUAAGGAUUACUGUUCACUGAGUCCUCACAGCAGAUGUAGACACAGCUUCCAGUGCUUCACAGAGAGUCAUUUAUGUAAUAUAUAUAUCCAGUCUACCUUGGGAAUACAUCAGCAUCCUUGAUUUCCAGAGAGAAAACUGACACUGAGAAGUCAUGUAAUGUGCCCAAGUUCACACAACUUGCUCUCGGUGGAAUUAUGAGUUAGCAUCAGCAGAUUUCAAAAGCAGCUCAGGUUCUCCUGACUCCUGUGUCACAUACCACUUUGCUUUGCCACAUGGAUAAGUAAGCCUAAUUUGUGGCUGGGAGAUUUUAAGCCCUGGAUCACCAGAUGAGAUGGUGUUAAAGUCAGAGCAACACCCUCUGGACAUGUGGUCCCCAGGAUGGGGCUUGUUAGUAAAUUCCGCUUAUUGAGAAACACAGUCCCCCCCACCCCGGUCUGGAAGGAGACAAUUUUCCAGCUGUGUAUAUCUAUGGCGUAGGACUGGGAAGUGGGGUAGGAUCAGAAGAGAAGGUAGGGGAUAUCACCGCAGAAGUCCUAGGCACCCAGUUGUGAAUGGGUUGUGGUCUCUAUGACCUCUUUUAAUAAGUCUGAUGUCUUUAUCUUCAGGAGCCAAGAGUAUAUGGCUUGCCAUUGUAAGAAUCUGUGCAGUUUGUCCAAAAGUAAUGAAUGUGGAAUAAAUGCAGAAAUGUAACAUAAGAGUGUAGUUCUCACAACCAUGGUUCUCCUGCUUUUCUGGGCUGCAGACCCUCCACAGGGCACAACAACCCCUUAAUCCAUCUGUUUCCACUCGGCUGGCUAAUUAAAAAAAAAAAAAUCAAAUCACCACACUGAAAUCAGCAAAACAAAUCAUGCUGCUCUUGAUGAGAAAGCAAGGAGCUAUUUUCUUGGCUUUCAUUUAAGGCUACAAGGUAAAAGUAUUUAAUCACGCCUGAAAAAAAAAUAACCAUUUGUCCCAUAAAGAUAAAAAUAAGGGAUUCUUUCAGCCCUGCACUGGCCCUGCCACUGCACUUUGAGUGCCUUGCUGUAGGACAUCUGCCACCCAUCGACUCAUGGAAUGAAUGUGUAGGAGUACAAAAAUAUGCCUUGUCCCAGGUCAUUUCACUUUUUUUUUUUUUUUUUUUUUUUUUUUUUGUCUUAUGCCUUUUCUAAGGCCGAUGCCUCGGCACAUGGAGGUUCCCAGGCUAGGGGUCCAAUCGGAGCUGUUACCGCCAGCCUAUGCCAGAGCCACAGAACUCGGGAUCCGGGGCGCAUCUUUGACCUACACCACAGCUCACGGCAACGCUGAAUCCUUAACCCACUGAGCAAGGUCAGGGAUCGAACCCGCAACCUCAUGGUUCCUAGUUGGAUACGUUAACCACUGAGCCAGGAUGAGAACUCCCAUUUCACUUUUCUUUGUGCUCAACUGAUUUUUUCUUACUCUUUUCUUCAACUGAUUUUUUUUCUUACUCAAGCUUUAGUAUUGUCCAACCACAUUAAAAUUCGUCUCAAUGAUUUAGAUUAAUGUAAGUCCCUUCAGUGGAGACUGGUAUGAGUGUAUAAGUUGCAUAAAAAACGAGAGCAUUAAAAGAUUCCUCUGCGGACUUCCCAUCAUGGCUCAGUGGUUCAUGAACCUGACUAGUAUCCAUGAGGACAUGGGUUCAAUCCCUGGCCCCAAUCAGUGGGUUAAGGAUCUUGUGUUGCUGCGGCUGUGGUGUAGGCUGGCAGCUACAGCUUCGAUUGGACCCCUAGCCUGGGAACCUACAUAUGCCCUGGGUGUGGCCCU